AUACGUAGGUGGCAAGCGUUAUCCGGAUUUAUUGGGCGUAAAGCGAGCGCAGGCGGUUUUUUAAGUCUGAUGUGAAUGCCCUUGGCUCAACCAAGGAAGUGCAUCGGAAACUGGAGAACUUGAGUGCAGAAGAGGACAGUGGAACUCCAUGUGUAGCGGUGAAAUGCGUAGAUAUAUGGAAGAACACCAGUGGCGAAGGCGGCUCUCUGGUCUGCAACUGACGCUGAGGCUCGAAAGCAUGGGUAGC
rnacentral:rRNA from 1 species